rnacentral:rRNA from 1 species
UACGUAGGGGGGCUAGCGUUGUCCGGAAUCAUUGGGCGUAAAGCGCGUGUAGGCGGCUUGACAAGUCUGCUGUGAAAGUCCAGGGCUCAACCCUGGAAUGCCGGUGGAAACUGUCAAGCUAGAGUCCGGAAGAGGCGAGUGGAAUUCCUGGUGUAGCGGUGAAAUGCGCAGAUAUCAGGAGGAACACCAAUGGCGAAGGCAGCUCGCUGGGGACGGUACUGACGCUGAGACGCGAAAAGCGUGGGGAGCAAACAGG